AUGCACUCAGCCCACAGGCCCCUGAUGCUUGCAUCCAGCGAGGCCUCCCGUGGCCUUGGCUCAUUUGUGUAGAGGAACGUGGAACCUUGCUCUGUGGCUGUGUUCCCCUGGUACUGUGUCCCCUUCCUGACCCCUCCCUGCAGUCACAUGAGGCCCAGCAACCUGCCAGUCACUCAGUGGCCUCCGACCAGACAAAAGAACCUGUCGAGUUGGCAGUUGUUGCUCAUGAGCAUCCACCAGGUGGGACAGGGAGUGCUGACCCUGGGCGGCCCCCUGGAACCACCUGCCCUGAAAGCCCAGGGCUUGGACCCCCAUACACUUUGUGGAUGGUGGAACCUGGCCCACCUCCCACCACAGACGAGGAGCCCUGGGCCCCUCAGGGGAGCCCCUGCUAGACAGUGAGACAGAGACUGACCAUGAUGAUGCUUUCCUCUCUGUCAUGUCUUCUGACACCCAGUUGCCUCUACUACCCAGAGGUGUCAGGCCCAGUCCCUCAGUGCCCUGCCCAAAGAACAGGACUCAUCUGAGAAGGAUGGAUGCAGCCCCAACAAAUGGGACAAGGACCACAUCCAGUGGCCCAUGAGUGGCAGUCAUGAUCUUCAGCAAGUGGCACCAGGCCCUGGUGGGGCCCACCAGUGUCACCCCAACCAGGACAACUGGACCAUCAGCCAGAUCCUGGGUGAGUGGUGGAACACCCUGGGGCCCAAUGAGAUGCAGAAGUACCAUGACCUGACCUCCCAGGUGAAGGUGGCCCACUUGCAACAAGGACCGAACAAAGUCCAGCUCAGAGGCCAAGCCCACAAGCCAGGGGCUAGCAGGAGGGUACAAGGGCUUGCAGGAGCAGAGCAUGUCAGAGAUGGGCAUUGCCACUGCCCCUGGGGUGUCCUCUGGCAGUUGUAUCCCAGACAUUCCUGAGCUGGGAUACCAAGGAGCAGCUUCUAUGGGGCAAAACGGCUGCACACAGGGAACCUGGCUCAGCUGGGCCCCAAGCCUUCUCCCACAGUGGGGUACGCAGCCUGGAUGGCGGGGAAGUGACCAUCAGGCACUACAGGAACUGAUGCAAGUGGUGUCUGGUGCUGCAUCGGACUCUGGCCCAAAGCCUCCUACCCAGUAUGGAGCUCCAGGCCCCUUGGCAGCCCCUGGUGAGGGAGGUGCCUUGGUGGCCAGUGGGCAGCCCCGCUGCUGCCCACCUGAGCUUCUCAUUCCCAGCAUGUGGCCAGUGAGGACACAGCAAGUGACGAGGAGCACAUGGUCAUCUGUGAGGAGGAAGGGGUGAUGAUGUCAUUGCUGACGAUGGCUUCAGCACCACUGACAUUGAUCUCAAGUACAAGGAGCAGGUGACUGACAGUGAGAGUGCAUACAGCUCUGGGGAGGACCAAGAGAGCAACAAGGGCUUUGGUGGGAAGGUGUUUGCACCUGUCAUCUGUUCCUCCUUUAUCCCCUGCCACCCCUUGCUGGACCCUGAGCCCCCAGGGUCCCCCGAUCCACCUGCAUCCUUGGCAAAGGCUAUGGUCCCACCCUGUCCUCCUCCUCCAUGUACUCGGAUGCUUCCUCCUCAACUCGGCAGCCACCUCCUUCUCACUGGGCCCAGGAACGUUCAAGGCCCAGGAGUAUGGUCAGGGCAGCAGAAAGGGCCCCCUACGGCCCUCACCCCUUGGGUAGAGAAACUGUACAGGUAGAGAAACCAAGGACUGGCUCAGGGAGCCGGAGUCUGAGAAGGUGCGGUCCUCCUCACUGCGGGCGCUGGACCAAUGCGGGCCCUGGUCAUGCAGCUCUUCCAGGACCACAGCUUCUUCCCGUCCCCCAGGCCACAGCCACCCUCCAGGCCUGCUAUGCAUACAUCUUCCCCUCCAAGGUUUGUGUGCAGAACAUCCUGCCCACGCGGUCCCAGCAGCUUCAGGCUACACCUGCCCCAGCACCAGCCUCUGGGACCCAGGCAGUGGCUCCUAGCGGCCCCGCACCCACCACCAGCAUCCGUUUCACCUGCAGUUGAAGAUCUGUGAGGUGCCCAGAAGAUCAUGCAGUGGCCACUCCCACGGAGAAGCCCCCAGGGCUGAGGCUUCCCCGCCUGGACCGCCCCCAACUGGCACCAUAGCUGCCUCUACCCAGACUCCCAGCCCCACGGGGGUCCUGACCCCACCUCACCCGGCUUGGAUUCUGGCUCCACCCAGGCCGCCCCACCACUGCUUCUGCCCCAGACAGCCUGAACAGCCUGGCUGAAAGGGGA